AACGAACGCUGGCGGCGUGGAUUAGGCAUGCAAGUCGAACGCGAAAGAGGGGGUAACUCCUCGAGUAGAGUGGUGAACGGGUGAGUAACACGUGAGAAACCUGCCUUCAGCAGGGGGAUAACACUCCCAACGGGGUGCUAAUACCGCAUGAGACCACGGAUUCGCAUGGAUCUGGGGUCAAAGGUGGCCUCUGCUUGCAAGCUACCGGCUGAAGAUGGUCUCGCGCCCAUUAGCUAGUUGGUGGGGUAAUGGCCCACCAAGGCGACGAUGGGUAGCUGGUCUGAGAGGAUGGUCAGCCACACUGGGACUGAGAUACGGCCCAGACUCCUACGGGAGGCAGCAGUCGAGAGGC
rnacentral:rRNA from 1 species